CGGAUGGUUGUUUGAACCGCAUGGUUCAGACAUAAAAGGUGGCUUCGGCUACCACUUACAGAUGGACCCGCGGCGCAUUAGCUAGUUGGUGAGGUAACGGCUCACCAAGGCGAUGAUGCGUAGCCGACCUGAGAGGGUGAUCGGCCACACUGGGACUGAGACACGGCCCAGACUCCUACGGGAGGCAGCAGUAGGGAAUCUUCCGCAAUGGACGAAAGUCUGACGGAGCAACGCCGCGUGAGUGAUGAAGGUUUUCGGACCGUAAAGCUCUGUUGUUAGGGAAGA
rnacentral:rRNA from 1 species